CUUGAACUCAGCAGAGCCAGGGGCAAUCUCCCGAUUCCCACCUGUGGAGCCCUUUCACAAUUUUACAGCAUUCUAUCCAUGCAUCAAAUCCUCUUUUUAAAGAGGUCUAGAACCAUUUGUUUUCCGUACUUCACUUUGCUUCAUCUCUCUCAAAAACAUGCUUUCAGAGCUGACCCCUGCCCUCUGUGGGCCCGAGCCAGGCAGAGUAACCAGCUUUGUCAAUCUCUUCCUCUGACCAGCUCCUCUGUUACAGCAGCCUCAAACUAAACUGGCCCCCUUCGGCAACCCCACGACACAGGUGACCCACAGCUACUGGGAAAGCCGGAGGCCUCCUCUUCCAGCCCAGCUGGGCUGCGUGGCCCUUCCAGACUAAGCAUCACAGCUCUCUUCACAGCCCUCUUUAUUAACACUGAUCCAUUAGAUCUGGCCUAGGGUUCAGCCUGUGAGAUCUGUUGGCUCGGACUUCCCCAGGCCCCACCCUCCCACAGGAACCGCCUGCCAUUUAUAAUCACAGCGACACCAGAGGGGAGAGGUGAAGUCCAACAUGGCAAUCACUUUAUCUUUCCACUGAACACAAGCACGACUUGAGAUGCUGCUUCUGGCUUCGUACCCACGCCAAAGCAAGGCUUCUUUUUCCUUCUCAUUUUAAAAAUAAAAA